rnacentral:rRNA from 1 species
AGUAACGCGUAUGCAACUUACCUAUCAGAGGGGGAGUAACCCGGCGAAAGUCGGACUAAUACCGCAUGAAGCAGGGGCCCCCGGCAUGGGGAUAUUUGCUAAAGAUUCAUCGCUGAUAGAUAGGCAUGCGUUCCAUUAGUUUGUUGGCGGGGUAACGGGCCCACCAAGACUACGAUGGAUAGGGGUUCUGAGAGGAAGGUCCCCCACAUUGGAACUGAGACACGGUCCAAACUCCUACGGGAGGCAGCAUG